UCCCUGGUGGUCUAAUGGUUAGGGCUUGGCACUUUCACUGCUGAGGCCUGGGUUCCAUCCCUGGUCUGGGAA
rnacentral:tRNA from 1 species